rnacentral:rRNA from 1 species
GACAGAGGGUGCAAACGUUGUUCGGAAUUACUGGGCGUAAAGCGCGUUCAGGCGGUUUGGCAAGUCGGGCAUGAAAUCUCUCGGCUCAACCGGGAGAGGUUGUCCGAUACUGUUAGACUGGAGGGCAGUAGAGGGUGGUGGAAUUCCGGGUGUAGUGGUGAAAUGCGUAGAGAUCCGGAGGAACACCAGUGGCGAAAGCGGCCACCUGGACUGCACCUGACGCUGAAACGCGAAAAGCUAGGGGAGCGAACGGG